UACGUAGGUGGCAAGCGUUGUCCGGAUUUACUGGGCGUAAAGAGCGCGCAGGCGGUCGAUUUAGUCGCGUGUGAAAGCCCCCGGCUCAACUGGGGAGGGUCACGCGAUACUGAUCGACUCGAAGGCAGGAGAGGGUAGUGGAAUUCCCGGUGUAGUGGUGAAAUGCGUAGAUAUCGGGAGGAACACCAGUGGCGAAGGCGGCUCACUGGACCGGAACUGACGCUGAGGCGCGAAAGCGUGGGGAGCAAACAGG
rnacentral:rRNA from 1 species